rnacentral:rRNA from 1 species
UCUGGCUCAGAUUGAACGCUGGCGGCAUGCCUUACACAUGCAAGUCGAACGGUAACGCGGGGGCAACCCUGGCGACGAGUGGCGAACGGGUGAGUAACGCAUCGGAACGUGUCCUCUGGUGGGGGAUAACCUGGCGAAAGUCAGGCUAAUACCGCAUGAGACCUGAGGGUGAAAGCGGGGGAUCGCAAGACCUCGCGCGAGGGGAGCGGCCGAUGUCCGAUUAGCUAGUAGGUGGGGUAAAGGCCCACCUAGGCGACGAUCGGUGGCGGGUCUGAGAGGACGGCCCGCCACACUGGGACUGAGACGCGGCCCAGACUCCUACGGGAGGCAGCAGUGGGGAAUUUUGGACAAUGGGGGCAACCCUGAUCCAGCCGUGCCGCGUGUGUGAAGAAGGCCUUCGGGUUGUAAAGCACUUUCGGCGGGAACGAAAUCGUCCUGGUCAAUACCUGGGGCGGAUGACGGUACUCGCAGAAGAAGCACCGGCUAACUACGUGCCAGCAGCGGC